UCGGCGGCUUGGUGUUCGGGCAUCGGCGAUUUGGGCUCGCCGGGCUCGUGGCCGCGUUGGGAAUCGUGGCCGCCGGU
rnacentral:tRNA from 1 species